CCAUCAUACGUCCCGGUAGUACGAUUAACUUUUCAUAAUAUAAUUGUGAUAUUACCCCUAUUUAUAAACAUACGUGCCGUUAGUUGCUAUAAAUUUCAAUUAAUCAUAAACCCCGAAAAAUUACGUAUGAAGACCCCGUGCUAUGGUUUAUAUCCUAGUUUAAGUAGAAGUGAAUGAAGUUGACUAACACACACGAAUGAUGUAUUCAGAUUCUAAUUUUUCUUUGGCUAUGGAUUUUAUGUCACAGGAUUUUCUACCACUAUCGAGACUAUAAUAUAUGCUUGUCUUGUCUUCAUGUUAAUUUCAACAUAAACACUUUCCUGAAAAAUCAAAUAUUUGUUAUCCCCUAACCAACUCAUCAUGUGUUUUUUUUUUUUUUUUUUUCCUUUUGCAGAUUGUGAUCACUGGUGGAGGAGCAACCUUUAUUUUUUGGUUCAUUUGGGAAUCACUUAUUAUGGUUCAGUAACAAGUGCGCCAGGUGAAUCUAUGACUUAAGAACAAAGUCAUAUGCUAUGACUUCAUUCAUGUUGGUUGAGUCUUCACAAGUUUCUUUUAAUUACUAAGUCAUGUUGAAUUCUUCAUUCUGUGGUUAACUUUCGUUU